rnacentral:ncRNA from 1 species
GGGGAGAGACUUAGAAUCCCCACGGGUGAUGUGUGUUAAUAGUCGUGCGUCUGGCCGCGCCGAUGGUUAGUGAAUC